UGGACCAGUGAUGACCACUCUUGGCAUAUGCAUCGUGGUUGAUGAAUACGCGUCUAGAACUCUGAGGUCCAA
ensembl:snoRNA